CAGUAGCCGCGGUAAUACGAGGGGGGCAAGCGUUGUUCGGAAUUAUUGGGCGUAAAGGGUGCGUAGGCGGUCUGAUAAGUCUGAUGUGAAAUCUAUGGGCUCAACCCAUAGUCUGCAUUAGAAACUGUCGGGCUUGAGUAUGGGAGAGGUGAGUGGAAUUUCCGGUGUAGCGGUGAAAUGCGUAGAUAUCGGAAGGAACACCUGUGGCGAAAGCGGCUCACUGGAUCAUUACUGACGCUGAUGCACGAAAGCUAGGGGAGCAAACAGGAUUAGAUACCCCCGUAGUCCCUGUCUCUUAUAC
rnacentral:rRNA from 1 species